rnacentral:sRNA from 1 species
ACCACUGUCAAUCUAUCUAUUGCUGCUAAUCUAUUGCUGCUGUCAAUCUAUCUAUCGCUGCUAAUCUAUCUAUCGCUGCUAAUCUAUCGCUGCUGCCAAUCUAUCCCUCACUGCUAAGCUAUCCCUCGCUGCUAAGCUAUCCCUCGCUGCUAAGCUAUCCCUCACUACUAAGCUAUCUAUCACUGCUAAUCUAUCGCUGCCAACCUAUCUAUCACUGCCAAUCUAUCUAUCGCUGCUAAUCUAUCGCUGCUAAUCUAUCACUGCUAAUCUAUCGCUGCCAACCUAUCUAUCGCUGCCAAUUUAUCUACCACUGCCAAUCUAUCUAUUGCUGCUAAUCUAUUGCUGCUGCCAAUCUAUCUAUCGCUGCUAAUCUAUUGCUGCUGCUAAUCUAUCUAUCGCUGCUAAUCUAUCGCUGCUAAU